UACGUAGGGUGCUAGCGUUGUCCGGAAUCAUUGGGCGUAAAGAGCGUGUAGGCGGCUCGGUAAGUCCGCUGUGAAAGUCCAGGGCUCAACCCUGGAAUGCCGGUGGAAACUGUCGAGCUAGAGUCCGGAAGAGGCGAGUGGAAUUCCUGGUGUAGCGGUGAAAUGCGCAGAUAUCAGGAGGAACACCAAUGGCGAAGGCAGCUCGCUGGGACGGUACUGACGCUGAGACGCGAAAGCGUGGGGAGCAAACAGG
rnacentral:rRNA from 1 species